CGGCCACAUUGGGACUGAGACACGGCCCAGACUCCUACGGGAGGCACCACCGAGGGAUAUGGCACAAUGGGCGAAAUCCUGAUGCAGCAGCGCCCCGUGACGGAUGACUGUUUUCGGAUUGUAAACCUCUGUCUUCAGUGACGAAUUAAUGACGGUAACUGAAGAUGAAGCCACGGCUAACUACAUGCCAGCAGCCGCGGUAAUACCUAGGUGGCGAGCGUUGUCCGGAUUACUGGGUGUAAAGGGAGCUCACGCGGAACAUCACGUUGGAUGUAAAAUACCAAAGCUUAACUUCCGAGCUGCAUCCCAAACUGUUCUUCUUGAAUGCAGUAGAGGCCAGCGGAAUUCCGAGUGUAUCGCAGUAAUGCGAAAAUAGUCCGACGAACACCAGUGGCGAAGGCGGCUUGCUGGGCUCUAACUGACGUUGAGGCUCGAAAGUGUGGGGUGCAAACAGGAUUAGAUACCGUGGUAGUCCUCACUGUAAACGAUGAUUGCUAGGUGUGGGGGGUCUGACCCCUUCCGCUGCCGGAGUUAACGCAAUAAGCAUUCCACCUGGGGAGUACGCCGGCAACGGUGAUAACUCAAAUGAAUUGACGGGGGCCCGCACAAGCGGAGGAACAUGUGGUUUAAUUCGAUGAUACGCGAGGAACUCUUACCCGGGCUCACACGCGCUAUGAAUGGCGAGUGAAAGUUGUCAGUCAGCAAUGACAUAGUGCGAGGUGCUGCAUGGUUGUGGUCGGCUCGUGCCGUGAGGAGUCGGCUUAAGUGCUCACUACCGACGCGCAACCCCUAUCUGUCAGUUGUCUAACUAUUAAACUAGAGGACUCUGUUGAGACUGCCGGCGCAAGCUGCGAGGAAGGCGGGGAUGGCGUCAAAUCAGCACGGCCCUCCAGUCCGGGGAGACACACGUGUUACAAUGGCAGGUACAGCGGGAAGCCACCUGGUGACAGGGAGCAGAACCCGAAAACCCGUCUCCCUUUGGAUUGGAGUCUGCAACUCGACUCCAUGAAGCUGGAUUCGCUAGUAAUCGUUCAUCAGCCAUGGCGCGGUGAAUACGUUCCCGGGCC
rnacentral:rRNA from 1 species